UAACCCUGCUUCCAGAGGAGUCGCACAGUCAGGUGAGUCAUGAGGCAGACAGUAACCCUGCUUCCAGAGGAGUCCCACAGUCAGGUGAGUCAUGAGGCAGACAGUAACCCUGCUUCCAGAGGAGUCCCACAGUCAGGUGAGUCAUGAGGCAGACAGUAACCCUGCUUCCAGAGGAGUCCCACAGUCAGGUGAGUCAUGAGGCAGACAGUAACCCUGCUUCCAGAGGAGUCGCACAGUCAGGUGAGUCAUGAGGCAGACAGUAACCCUGCUUCCAGAGGAGUCCCACAGUCAGGUGAGUCAUGAGGCAGACAGUAACCCUGCUUCCAGAGGAGUCACACAGUCAGGUGAGUCAUGAGGCAGACAGUAACCCUGCUUCCAGAGGAGUCCCACAGUCAGGUGAGUCAUGAGGCAGACAGUAACCCUGCUUCCAGAGGAGUCCCACAGUCAGGUGAGUCAUGAGGCAGACAGUAACCCUGCUUCCAGAGGAGUCCCACAGUCAGGUGAGUCAUGAGGCAGACAGUAACCCUGCUUCCAGAGGAGUCCCACAGUCAGGUGAGUCAUGAGGCAGACAGUAACCCUGCUUCCAGAGGAGUCCCACAGUCAGGUGAGUCAUGAGGCAGACAGUAACCCUGCUUCCAGAGGAGUCGCACAGUCAGGUGAGUCAUGAGGCAGACAGUAACCCUGCUUCCAGAGGAGUCCCACAGUCAGGUGAGUCAUGAGGCAGACAGUAACCCUGCUUCCAGAGGAGUCGCACAGUCAGGUGAGUCAUGAGGCAGACAGUAACCCUGCUUCCAGAGGAGUCCCACAGUCAGGUGAGUCAUGAUGCAAACAGUAACCCUGCUUCCAGAGGAGUCGCACAGUCAGGUGAGUCAUGAGGCAGACAGUAACCCUGCUUCCAGAGGAGUCCCACAGUCAGGUGAGUCAUGAGGCAAGGUAGUUGAAAAGGUCUGCAUUCUUAGAAUGAAAGUGAAAUAUAAAACAAAAUGUUUAUUCCAUUUGGACUAAAACAAAUCUAAGAGUCCAGACCUUCUCUUUUUCUACUACUGACUAUUUCAGAUCUAUGCACCAACUAUUUAGGUUUUUACUUACUUCAUUACUUACUUACUUCAUUAGGUCGACAAGAUAUUACUGCAUAAACACGAGGGUGGGUGUGUAAACUAAACCACUUGCUCAAUUCAUGACUCCAGUUUGUAGCCCUCUAGUCUUUUAAAGAAUCUGUUGUGUUUGGACUUGGCUGAGGAAACUUUGAGGAAAGUCCAAGGUGUGCAGGCAUUUGUUCCAGCCCAGCACUAGAUUCCAUUUGACCAAUAAUGUGUGUGU